CCGCAUGCGCAGACCCGCUCCCCUCCUUGGCCUCGAAGCUGUUCUGCAAGAGAGACCCGCCGCGCCCUGAGCCGCGGGCCCGCGCCGCGUGACGCCACCGCCCCGCCGCCUGCGUCAGCGCCCGCCGCCGUGAGGAGCGAAAGUUUGAAAGCUCUCCGACACUGGCUGCGCCCGUUUGCAACAUUUCUAUACAUUUCUGUGGGGAAGGAAAUGAAUGCUUUUAAGCUGAAGAAUCAAUGUUGUAUCAGCUAAGAUUCCCCCCUCCCUUCGUCACUGAAAGGCUGCUUUUAUUCCAGACGUGUGAUUACAGGUAGAAAAACCCUACCAGCACAUUCUGGGGAAUGACUGAAGGACGUGACUUUUCACGUUAAAACGACUUUGAUCCCAUGGCAAACCUUUGCUGGAAAAGCCAGCCUUUCCCGGGGUGGAGGGCCGCACGCAGCCCGCUCGUGCUCCGAGCUGGAAGACUGCCUCCCAGAAACGAAUCUGCCCACACUGACAGCUCGAUUGAGGGUGAUUGAUGACUAUCUGGAGACCACGCUUGCCUGAUCUAUUCCUUUACCAGUCAGCAUUGUGCCAAUUCCAAUCUGUAUUCCCUAGAAACAGUCAUUGAGGGGGGGACCCUUAAUAUUUAUAGCACAAAACAGUCAGUUUCUACAAGCUGACAUUACAUCUUCCCCAAACGUUCACGACUUGUUUCAUUUACAAUCUACAAAUAACGGCCCUUUGUUAAUAAAAAACUCGAAGUUGUAUUUCGUCGUGAAUUUCUGGUGCCAGAGCACAAACAUGCAAUAAGCCCCACAAUGAUUUAAAAUAAUCUUUGUGGUUCUCGCACAUUAACAACGUAACACUGUUCAAAUCCAAGUAAACACGCUUCAUGCUGUGGGCUAUAUCCUUAAGCAUUUGGAAAAUGUAAGUAUUUGCUGUGCAAUAAAAAUUGAUCCUUGCCAAGCCCCUUGCCUGUGCAAAACAGUUAACAGCAUUCGAGAAACAUAAACAAGCAGUGCUUUCUCCAAAGUUUAAGAAAGUAAAACCCUCUCGAUCAAUAGGAAACACUGGAGAGUUUCCCUCGUGUAAGAGUAAGCUCGCACACACAGAAGAACAGCUAUUCUGGAACCAAAGCCAAACUAAGUAUAUCUUCGAGGGUUAUGUGUUCCUUCUCCGAGAAACUGGAGCCAACGUUCAUACAAGUUUUAUCAUAAAAACAUGAAACACGAAGGAAACAUUGUGAUACUGGAACAGGCCACAGCAGGUAAAACAGAAAACCUCUUCAGGACUAAUGCUUUGAUGGACGUCUUCAGGGACGUGAUCUAGAGGCAGUUAACGCAGCUCCAGUUUUACUAUCUGCAUUUUCAUCGCCUCCUCUUUUGGAGGGGUUAUUGCCACUCCUGGAAAUAUUUCAGUGACGGAAUUUGCUUAUGGGCUAAACAGACUUUAUCAAGCUCUUUCAGUCGAGUUUGCUUUGUUUCCACGUUAAAGACUUAAAGCAACCCUGACACUGCCUGACAAACGCUGUGAAGCUCUACACGUUGCCCAUUUGGGAUCUGACAUGGAACUGGGGGCAGUCUGCAACAUUUUCAAGUAGAUUAGCUCCCAUAAAGUCGGUAUUGACAGUAAAUACGAUUUUUUCAAAGCUCAUCUGAGGUGCAAUUGCAUAUACUGCAUUGUAAACCGAGGGACGGCCAGUUCCUAUGGCGUACCUCCACAAACUUAUGUGUGCCUUGUGAUCACUAGAGCUAUAAUGACAAACAUAACAGUUGCCUAACGCCGCUAAUUAAUUUACUCAGAUUACAACUACACGUAAAACCAGUUGUUUAAAGCUAACCAUUUGAACCCUUUCGUUUUGCGGACUUCAAUCCUCUUCGCAAACAUUCUAGAUUAAAGCAGAAAGGCCUCA